AUCUCAUGUGUAUCUUCAAAUCUCCUCUGUAAUUAAAUCCUUUCCCACAUUCAGAGCAGCUAAAUCUUUUCCCACAAACAAUCAAAUCACUGACAGGGACUUGAUCAUUUUUCAGACAGUUUAAACCUGACUGAGGCUCUCUGGUCUCCGUCCAAUCAUCACUGUCAUCAGUCUCAGGUUGUAAAUGUGUAUCUGGAUCUGAGUUCCUGGCUGGUUCUGCUCCUCCACAGUCCUCUCCCUCUGCUUCUGUUUCCAUCUGUUCAGUGUGUCUUUGAUGAAGCUGUGAGGACUGAGGUUUCUCUUCAUCAUCUUCACUCUUCACAGGGACAGGAGUGAAUGUGAACUUGGUGAUAUCAUCCUCCUCCAGCCCUUGAAGCUGCUCUCCCUCCUGACUGAUCCAGAGUUCCUCCUGUUCCUCUUUAAUGUGUGGAGGCUCUGGGUCCUCCUGGUCCACACUGGAGCUCGAC